UGUAGGAUCACUUGAGCCCAGGAGUUUGAGGUUGCAGUGAGCUAUGAACAUGCCACUGCAUUCCAGCCUAGGUGAUAGAGAGAGAUCCGGUCUUUAAAAACAAAACAAAACAAAAACAAAAACAAAAACAGAAAACAUUUCCAGAAUGCAAGAAGCUUCUUCCUUGUUGCCUUCCAGUCAACCAGUUAAUACUCGCUGCAAAAGGGUCCCCCAGGCUGGAGUGCAGUGGUGUGAUCCUGGCUCACUGCAACCUCCGCCUCCUGGGUAACAGAAAAACCUGUUGAUCAAGCAAAACCUCAGUCAAAUGGUUGUGCCUAACUGCAAUGAAGACUGGAAAAUGUAGUCUAUUUGUGUGUCUUGGAAGAAAAGGAGAUAGACUUGGUGAGCCACUAACCAAUCUUCCCAGAGUGAGCAUCCAUCGUAUGGUUCUUCUCCAUCUGUGAUAAUGAAUACCUAAGUUGCCCUCACUUCCCCACCACUCAGAUAAAGCCAUGAGGAAGGUCUUUGUACCUAAAAACCUUUGUGAGUUCUCUGUGAU
rnacentral:lncRNA from 10 species